GUGCCAGCAGCCGCGGUAAAACGUAGGAGGCAAGCGUUAUCCGGAGUUACUGGGCGUAAAGCGCAUGUAGGCGGUUUCUCAAGUGGCGUGUGAAAGCUCCCGGCUAAACUGGGAGAGGACACGUCAGACUGAGAGGCUAGAGGGGGCUAGAGGGGCGCAGAAUUCGGGGUGUAGCGGUGAAAUGUGUAGAGAUCCCGAGGAAUACCAGUGGUGAAGACGGCGCCCUGGGGCCUUACUGACGCUGAGAUGCGAAAGCGUGGGGAGCGAACGGGAUUAGAUACCCCCGUAGUCC
rnacentral:rRNA from 1 species